rnacentral:rRNA from 1 species
UACGGAGGGGGCUAGCGUUGUUCGGAAUUACUGGGCGUAAAGCGCGCGUAGGCGGCUUUGCAAGUUAGAGGUGAAAGCCCGGAGCUUAACUCCGGAACUGCCUUUAAAACUGCAUCGCUAGAAUCGUGGAGAGGUGAGUGGAAUUCCGAGUGUAGAGGUGAAAUUCGUAGAUAUUCGGAAGAACACCAGUGGCGAAGGCGGCUACCUGGACAAUUGCUGACGCUCAGGCACGAAAGCGUGGGGAGCAAAAGGG